rnacentral:rRNA from 1 species
GACAGAGGUGCCAAGCGUUUAGGCGGAAUCACUGGGCUUAAAGCGUGUGUAGGCGGAUCGUUAAGUGCCUUGUGAAAUCCCACGGCUUAACCGUGGAACUGCUCGGCAUACUGGCGGUCUUGAGCCAGCUAGGGGCUACCGGAACAAAUGGUGGAGCGGUGAAAUGCGUAGAUAUCAGGAGGAACACCGAUGGCGAAGGCAGCUUACUGGGCCGAUACUGACGCUGAGGAGCGAAAAGCGUGGGGGAGCGAACAGG